CCCGGAGUGACCAACACAGGCGGUCUUGAACGUCGCCGACAGUACUCAAUCUCCAUUCUCCUCUAGAACCGAAGCACUGAAUAACUCACUUUAAUUGCGGAGCAGAAGAAACACCCUAGGCGAAAGCUCUCGUAGACACCAUUGAUUCAGGAUCGGAGACAGGUGAUCAGUACUUCUGGCAGGAUAAGGUACUGUUUCGGAAGUAUCGACCAAGAACACCCAGACUCCAGAGGAUUACGAAAGUUGUUCAUCGCCUAGCCAGAUGUGUGUCAUGUCUUCUGUACUUGCCUCCUCUUUGCCAUAAGAUCAGUACCGAAGGAUUCUCUGGGCCCAUCUCCAUUCGAGAUGGUGUAUAGUCACACGGUGAGAGGACCAUUGGAGGUGAUCAAGGACCAGUGGGUGUACAAAGAGAACAUGGAUGUGCUGGACUGGUUAUCUACGCACAAAGACAUGUUGAUUGCUGCAUGGGAACAAGCCAAGGAGAACCUGCUACAUUCUCGGGUAAUUGCAAAGAAGAUAUAAGACAACAAAAUUACUCGGGGAAUUUCAGCACUCAAGACUGGAAAAAGCCGCAGCUGUUGGUACACGUGAACAUGAAGUUGUAUCAAGGCCGGGACAUCUUCCCAGUGACGAUGGUGGUCUCAAGAGACUAAGCCAAAGAGGUGAUGGGGGACGUUGGUAAGCAAGUAGCAUCGAAUUCAGAGAUUCUGCUGAAUCUACUUACCAAGGUGACAAACGUACCCGAGAAGCAAGAGAGAUCCGUAAUAGAUAAUUAUGCAAUACAAGUAUUUUCAGAGAUACUCCAGGUCUGACAUCCGUCUUGAAGCAUGACGUUAUCCUUGAGGAGGGCGUGAGGUCGAUAAAGCAACAUCCCUACCGACUUAAUCCCCUGUAAGGUGGUGGUAAGACGUGACAUGGACUACAUGAUCCAACAUAAUCUGAUCGCCGCAAGUAUUAGUCCGUGGUUGUCCCCUGUUUUAUUAGCACCACAAGCCUGGUAAUGAGCAUAGGUUAUGCAUAGAAGUGUGUAUUGAUACCGUCGGUAUCAAUACUCUCUGUACAAUUGCCUAACGAAGUUUGACCUCAUGGGUUAUUGGCAGGUACUUCUGACAGAGCGUGAUUGCUUUUGUGACUCCUGGUGGUCUUUUUGUGUCAAGUUAUGCCAUUUGGUAUAUAAAAUGCCGCCUCUACAUUUCAGCGAUUGAUGACUAGUAUACUACGCGACGUAGAGAAUGCCGUGGUCUACAUUGAUGACGUGUUGAUUUACGACUCCAACUGGGAAGACCAUUUGCGGAAUAUAGAAGCAUUCUUAUCGGCUAUUCAACAAGCUCGGUUGGUAGUCAACGUGCAUAAAUCGUUAUUUAAGAUAUCUGUAAUAUUUUUUAGGACAUGUGGUUGAUGGAAGAUGGAUCUUCCCCGAAGAACAACGCAAAAGCAAUCGUUCAGUACCCGACCUCUUCAACACGUAAGGUGGUCCUGCGUUUCCUGGGUAUGGCCGGAUUCUACCAAGGGAACGAGGCCGAACGCUUGUUGUAGUUUGGCCCAGAACUGCACGUCUGGUGGCGGGAUAUGAGCCAAUCAGAGUCGCCGACCGAGAAACCAAGCGCACCGAUCAAUUUGGGCAGUCAGUACUCCACUCCGUCCAGUGACAGAAGCAUAAGGAACUAGGCUUGUGGUCCAUUUAUACAAAAGGCCGAGAAAGUGCUCCACCCCGACAAGCAGUGUGUUGGCUCGGCGUUUGAGGGAGUAGGGCGACUGAUAGAUGAAAGGAUGAGCGGUCAAUGUUGACGAGGAAGGUAUGAUACGAGCGGACCUGCAGAUUAAUUCAACAGAGAAGAAUUAAAUGCCAGUCAAAGAAUAGAUAUUCAAUGGACUUGGUUGGCCUUAUGUGAGGCAGAUUCUGGCUCUUGCAGUAGAUUAUAAAUGAGUCUUAAGAGGCCUGGUGCAUUGCGGAAAGGAAGCAUCAACAUUGGCGCCCUCUUGUCUGACUCGUAUAUUCCCCAUGAAGCUGUUUAUCAUCCAUGGACGAUGUUAGUUGAAGCUUACUCUGGUCUAUGGACUUUCUUAGAAGGAAACGAGGCCGACGACAGUUGUUUGGCCCAGGACUGCACGCUUGGUGGCGGGAAAUGAGAGCCAAUCAGUCGCCGACCGGGACAAGAGCACGAAUAAAUGUGGACAGUCUGUGCUCAGUCCAGCGACAGAAACAGUGCUCGGCUCGCUGUGCACAGACAAGUGCUUCGCUCAGUCCAGGGACAUAAACAUAAAUACGAUCACCACAGCAAGCUGUGUAUUAGUUCGGCGUUUGGAAGAGUCGUCUGAGGGAGACGCGUGGAAUUUGUCGACCUUGGAUGGGAAGACGACUUAAAAUUCAUUACGUGGGCAACAGCGGUGGAUGCUGCAGAAAUAGUGAUUCGGUCUCUAUUGGUGCGAUAUGAUACUGACUGGUGACGGCAGUGGAUUGACAUCUGCAAAUAUACAUAAAACUAAAUAUAUAUAUAUAAUUUUUGUUAAAGAAUAUAGUUGAGGUAGUUUGUCUUGGUAAUCAUUUCCCCCGAAGAUUUGAGGAAAUUUAUAAAGUGAAUUAAUGUAUAAUGACUUGUAGUAAAUAUAUAACUUUGGAAAUAGAACAUUUUCUGUAUUUAACUGACAUUGUAAUUAUAAGGUGUGAAGGAUAGAUGAAAUUGUUAAUGUAAUGUCCAUUGAGGUUUGUUGAAGACCUGUUGUGCCUUCUGUGAUCCUUUUUGCGCUACCGCUCACAGGAUGAGCAUGGGGUGCACAAUAAACUAGCGUCCCCCGGCGGCAACAGUGCUGCCCAUCCUGACUGUGUUUACCUGACGAGAACUGUUCCUGACCAGUACACACGAGACCUCGUAGGUUUUAAGUAGUAUAAUUAACAUGUAGACAAAUGUUGGAGAUUUACCACAACAAGUGGUUAUAUACCAAUAAAAGUAAAUAUUCUUACAAACUUUUGAAUUUGGGGAAUGAAAGUCACAUACAAUCUAUGGGCUCCAGAAAUUUUGCCCAACAUUCCAGUGUAUAAACUAGUCACUGUUUAAACGUACCUAUUAUGUUUAAUAGGCACUUUACGUUUAAUACAUAGGUAGUACCUUCAUGAACUAUUUUUUCCUCAACAUUAGCCAUUUCGAUAAAACCAUCAGAACAUCUCAAACACAUUUAUUCUUCAUAUCCUGUAGAUAUUCUUCAUAUAAUGAACUACUGUUUCCCCGACCUCGCUACUAAUAGGCAUGGUAAGGGAUAGUUCCAAGAGUUUUAAAGUAUUUUUUUUUUGUUGCAGGUUGCGGCAUUGAGGAAAUAGCUGGCGAUUUGUUGAUUCGUCAUCAUUCAUGAAGUGACGUAAGAAGUCAAUCGGCGAUGAAGAUGGUCCAAUUUUUCUUGGCAGAAAUUGUUCAAUGUGAAAGAAAUUUAGAUAGCUAAUCUUAAUUAGUUGAAUGGUACUUGUAAAUAAAUCUUGUAUGAGGAUCAACAUCUUGCUACUAAUAAAGUAAAUACGUGGUACAUGUAUUGAAGGUAUUAGAUGUAUUGUCUAAAAUCAGAGUUAGCUUUUUCACUUUACGUACAUGUAAAAAGUAUUUAUUUUGCCCUAUAUUAAGUUUCUUGCCAUGAUGACUUUUGAUAAUACUUUAUUUACCCUGCAAUGGUCAAUAUUGAAAUGUCUCAAGUGUUAAAUUACUAAAAUGUGUGAUGUUUUAAGUAUGGUAGGCACAGUGUAAACAGUGGUUGUUACCAGUAAUUAUAAUUCAAUUCUGGGGCCCCUCUAAUAUUUGAGAGGGCUCCUUGGUGCUGCGUAUUGGAAAGCGCUCGUAUUAGCAUUCUUGGUGAUAUUUAGCGCCCUUUGAUUAUCCCGCACAUUUGAUGGUGCUACAUAGCCUUCCCGGUUUAGUGCCUUCUUUUGAUAAUUGCCUUACCUUCAGGUAGUACAUUGACCUACAUACAAGUA